CGGACGGGUGAGUAACGCGUGGAAAACCUGCCGUAUACUGGGGGAUAACACUUAGAAAUAGGUGCUAAUACCGCAUAAGCGCACAGCUUCGCAUGAAGCGGUGUGAAAAACUCUGGUGGUAUACGAUGGUUCCGCGUCUGAUUAGCUAGUUGGUGGGGUAAUGGCCUACCAAGGCAACAAUCAGUAGCCGGCCUGAGAGGGUGAACGGCCACAUUGGGACUGAGACACGGCCCAAACUCCUACGGAAGGCAGCAG
rnacentral:rRNA from 1 species